UGACCUCGGAUCAGGUAGGGAUACCCGCUGAACUUAAGCAUAUCAAUAAGCGGAGGAAAAGAAACCAACAGGGAUUGCCCUAGUAACGGCGAGUGAAGCGGCAACAGCUCAAAUUUGAAAUCUGGCUCUUUCAGAGUCCGAGUUGUAAUUUGCAGAGGGCGCUUUGGCUUUGGCAGCGGUCCAAGUUCCUUGGAACAGGACGUCACAGAGGGUGAGAAUCCCGUACGUGGUCGCUAGCUAUUGCCGUGUAAAGCCCCUUCGACGAGUCGAGUUGUUUGGGAAUGCAGCUCUAAAUGGGAGGUAAAUUUCUUCUAAAGCUAAAUAUUGGCCAGAGACCGAUAGCGCACAAGUAGAGUGAUCGAAAGAUGAAAAGCACUUUGGAAAGAGAGUCAAACAGCACGUGAAAUUGUUGAAAGGGAAGCGCUUGCAGCCAGACUUGCUUGCAGUUGCUCAUCCGGGCUUUUGCCCGGUGCACUCUUCUGUAGGCAGGCCAGCAUCAGUUUGGGCGGUGGGAUAAAGGUCUCUGUCACGUACCUCUCUUCGGGGAGGCCUUAUAGGGGAGACGACAUACCACCAGCCUAGACUGAGGUCCGCGCAUCUGCUAGGAUGCUGGCGUAAUGGCUGUAAGCGGCCCGUCUUGAAACACGGACCAAGGAGUCUAACAUCUAUGCGAGUGUUUGGGUGUCAAGCCCGAGCGCGUAAUGAAAGUGAACGGAGGUGGGAACCCGCAAGGGUGCACCAUCGACCGAUCCUGAAGUUUACGGAAGGAUUUGAGUAAGAGCAUGGCUGUUGGGACCCGAAAGAUGGUGAACUAUGCUUGAAUAGGGUGAAGCCAGAGGAAACUCUGGUGGAGGCUCGCAGCGGUUCUGACGUGCAAAUCGAUCGUCAAAUUUGGGCAUAGGGGCGAAAGACUAAUCGAACUAUCUAGUAGCUGGUUCCUGCCGAAGUUUCCCUCAGGAUAGCAGUAACGUAUUCAGUUUUAUGAGGUAAA
rnacentral:ncRNA from 1 species